CAUUAAUUUUAAUGUACUCUUUCGGAACUCCAAAAAUAUUCUUCUUAAAUCCAUCUUCAUAAAAACUUUCUACUCAAGCGGAUCCGGGAAUGUGAUCAAGGAAGAUCAUCCAUAAAUAAGCUGUACUCAUGAAAAUACAAGGAAGAAUGUUUUCACAUUCUGCAUGUGGUCACCCGUAUGUUUGUGACGGAAGUGAUAGGAGGCUGUCUAUAAAAAUAUUUAGUAAUUACAAAAUUAUUAAGUCUUCAGGCGUAAUGACCACGGUUGAAGAUUCUGAACGUGUUAAACGAAAGAAAUAUGUUCAAUUGAAUUUGCUGAAUGUUUUUCAUGCGCUUGGGAAACAUUCUGAUGCUAACACCGGAAUUGCGUUUUACCGACUCAAUAAUAAUAAUUCCCUGCUGAUGUAUAUCGAUUUGAUCGAAUGAUCGAGUACAGAGGAUAAAAUAACCUUCAGUAAUAGUUAGAGACCACGUUUCAACAUGGAUUGAUCUAUUUGGAAAUUAUUGUUGUUAAGUCCAUAUAUAAUAAUCAAGCGCUGAUAGAUAUUUAGUAACAGUAGAGCAUAAAUUUCCAUCGCAAUAUCCGUAAAUAUAAACACGAUCUACAUAUUCGGCGUUAGUAAAUAUUUGAGAUAUAGCGUGAUGUAAGAAACAUUAUAUUCUAACUACACGCGAGGAGAUGCGAUGAAUAAAUUGCUUGGUGUAGUUUUGUAAGCGCCAUUUUUAUUUUGGGUUCAAGCAUACGCAUUGAAGUUUAAAUAUUAGCAUCAGUAUUUCAAAAACAGUUAAUACAGUAGAGCACGUGCUAAUAGGAACUUUUUGAUUUAGAAUGAUGGCCAUAAUAUAGCUCAGAUUAAUGACUGAGGGUGCUGAUUGUUUUUGGAUAUUCUACAACUCCAUACUUUUUGAAAUAUUGUAGAAAUGUCACGACUUUUCGAAAACAUCUUUUCAUCCCUGAACUUUUAUAAUUCAACAGGAAUCAUCAGCAGCAACAAAAUCAUCAUCUUGCAAUUCAAAAUUUUAAAUUAUGCACUGUAAACUUAUUUGAGGGGUAACAUAUUAGACUUCCAUCUAAUUUAAAUUUAGAUCCUACAUCUGAUUUUUUCAAGAGGGGCCUAGCCUAUUAAGUUUUAUUCUUCAGUCUUCAUCAAGGAUGUUUUUUUCAAUCUGUGGUGUGCCAUAGGAUUGUUACCGCUAUAUAUAUCCCUUGUGACCUAAAGACCGACCCCACCUUGGGUGUGGGCAGUCUGAGGAGGGCGUUGAAUGUUUAGUAUCUAACUGGAUGGAAUGUGACAUUAAAUCUACAAAAAAAGAACCACAAUUCUGUUUUUUACUUUCGCUAUUCAUAUUAGGAAAAUUGAGAUACGUCAGGAUAUCGAAAAAGCGAAACUAAAAUCGAAAUAUCGGUUAAUUUCUUUAUAAUUCUUCGCAAUAGAAUUCCAACUGAACGCACUCCAUGUUAACAAUG
rnacentral:lncRNA from 1 species